CAUACACACACAAAAAAAAAAAAAAAAAAAAAGAAUUAAAAACAAUUCGUAGAUAGAUAGACACAUUGCACAAAAAACAGCACGAAAGUUAGAUUAGAGGAUCCGUCGAGAGUUCCUUCCUCGCGAAUGCGUAUCCCUGUCCUCCGAUUCAAAUCUAUCAAAGGUUGUCUCUCUUUGUGUAACUCCGUCGUAUCCAGGGGGGAAGGGAGGGAAAAAGAAAAAGAAAAAGAAAAAGAAAAAAAAAAGAAAGAAAAAGAAAAAGAAAAAGGAAAAAAAAAAAAGAAACAAAAUUCCUUUAACCCUUUAAACCGUUGCCGUUUAAUAGUUGGAGGGAAAAAAACGGAAAGAAGGAAAAACGAGAGAGAGGAAAGAUCGUUAGGGGGGAGUUCAGAUUAAGGAUUAAGAAAAAAAUGAAAGAACGCGAAGAUCGACGACGGUUUAACAAGUAUAACGAGGUACGAAGUAAUCCCAUCUGAUUUGCCUAUCUAUGAUCCACCGUGCUUUAGACCUUCGUAACCAUCCCUCCUCCUCGUCUAUUCUUACUCCAUGCUUCGUCUCUUUCGGUUUUAAGCACGAUCCGAUGCUUCGUACACUUCUUCGCUACUUCCUCUGUUUCGUCGCUCGAAAUCGUCCUUUGAUAGCCGCCCUCUCUCUCUCUCUCUCUCUCUCUUUCUCUCUCUGUUCCCCGGUAUUUGUACGGUAUUUUUUUCAAUAAUGAAACUGUCUCAUCAUACGAGAGCGCGUGAUCGCGUGGUGCAAAAUCCACGAGUACGAGUAUCCCCGUUUGCGACGAAACCCAUAGGAUUUAGUCGAGUGAACCGAAUAGAGCUGAUAGAGAAACGUAGGAAAUAGAGAGUGUGAAAGAAGGACAAACGAUAAAGGGGACGAGCGAGGUGAAAACCGGGCGAGAGAACAAGAGGGAGGGAGAAAAAACGUGAGAGUGGGGAGGGAGGAGAGAGAGGCGGGCGACUUUGUUAUUAAUCAAAAGAUAGACGGAUCGUGCUUUAAACGAAUCAAAAGCGUUUCGACAAGCGUUUUCGAAUCAAAAAAAGAAAGAAAGAAAGAAAGAAAGAAAAAGGAAAAAAGGGAGGGGGAAAAAAAAGAAGAAGAAGAGAAAAAAACGCGAUGAUCAAAGAACGAUACAGGGGGGGGGAACGUUUGCGAGACGUUGCCAGACGUUGAAGAGAACAUAUUUGCGAGUGCAUAGAAUACGAGAGAAUCGACGAAAUCAAACCCGCUUGGGACAAACGUAGCGUUUAGGAAUUUAUCAGUAAAUUUAAAAAUAAUAAUUUCCCGAAAAAACGAUUCGAUUACCCGUAGUACGUGGAUAUGGAUAUAAAAGGUGUGCCUUCAGUCCAUCUCGCGGACCACAAAUAUUUCGUGCCAUUAAUUCCUCGUAAACUAAAUAUUGCUCUAUUCGGCGAGAAGAAAACGAAGCAAACGUUUCUAUGCCUGAAACAUAAAACGUAAGUUUAUUAGAAAUCUGACAGGUACGCGUAAUUCGAUAAUCUUCUUAGUGUCUUCCCUGAAGUACGAAAAAAAAGAAAAAAAAAAAAAAGAAAGAAAGAAAGAAAAGGAAAAAAAAAAAAAAGAAGAAAAGGCUAUCUCGACGAAGAAAAAAGUUGGAAAGUUGGCCGUGGUUGAGAUAUUUGUUGAAAUUUUUAAUCGCGAUUUAGAGAGAAAGAAAUGUUGAUUUUGCGUGUUUGAAACACCUGUUAAUAAAAAAAAAUAAUUGUUUCGCUCGUUGAUCCGUGUAUUUUUUAUUCUAACGUUUUAUUUUACGAACGAUAAAUCUUUUAUCGCUCGAUAUUGUUGAUAUUUCUAGCGGUUAAUUAAAAUAUUUAAUAUAAGCGUCGAUACGAAGACACGAAGACGAAUCGGUGCAAUAUACUUUCAUUCGUAAUUCUGGUUCAGUUGUGUCGAUAUUUUAACACGAGAGCAUCAAUACGUAUUGCAAAUUGAAUCAAAAAGUUUGUACAAUGAGGAGAAGAAAUUUUUUUUAUCGUAGAAAAGAACUUAAAAACAUAAGAAUUGUGGCCCAAGAAUUAAAAAAAAAAAAAAAAAAAAAACCAACAUCAAAACAUAUUUCGCUCUAUGUCCGUCAAUUGUUUUAUAAUUAAAAAUAUAAACACGAGAGACGUGUAAGAGUCAUUUGUAAGAAAAGAAAGCGAAGAAAAAAAAAAAAAAAGAAAAUUACACGAGAAGAAUACAACGAAGUAAUGCAAAAUUCGUCGAUCGUCACGAAAAUUCGCCCAGAAAUCGUGCGUGAACGUUAAUUAAAAUGAUUGGCUCUAUUCGAGACACAGUUUCAACGAGUUCCAUUUCUCGACACAAGCUAAAAAUAAAAUAAAAUGCGCAGCCUAAAAAAAGGACACGGUACCGAUCGCGAGGAAGAAACGAAAGAAUUAUAAAUAAAUAUAUAUAUAUAUAUAUACAUACAUAUAAAUACAAGAAAAAUAUAUAUUAUAUAUAUAUAUAAAAAAAAAUACCAAUACGUGCAGCGGCGACGAAAGCUGUUAUUUUGAAAUUCGUCGUGAAGCGAGAAUGAAAGCGCUGUGCGUGUGUGAGAUUAAGAGAGAGAAAAAAAAAAGAAGAAGCAAAAAAGGAUAAUAGCUUUUAAGUGAAACGAGGAGAAAAAAGAGUAAGAACGUAAGUGAAAAAAAAAAAAAAAAAAACAAAAUAUCGUGUACAUUAUUAGUUAGGCGAAACAAACGAGAGA
rnacentral:lncRNA from 1 species